CCUACGGGUGGCUGCAGUGGGGAAUAUUGGACAAUGGGCGAAAGCCUGAUCCAGCCAUGCCGCGUGUGUGAAGAAGGCCUUCGGGUUGUAAAGCACUUUCAGUGGGGAAGAAAGCCUUGGGGCUAAUACCCUCGAGGAAGGACAUCACCCACAGAAGAAGCACCGGCUAACUCCGUGCCAGCAGCCGCGGUAAUACAGGAGGGUGCGAGCGUUAAUCGGAAUUACUGGGCGUAAAGCGCGCGUAGGCGGUCUGAUAAGCCGGUUGUGAAAGCCCCGGGCUCAACCUGGGAACGGCAUCCGGAACUGUCAGGCUAGAGUGCAGGAGAGGAAGGUAGAAUUCCCGGUGUAGCGGUGAAAUGCGUAGAGAUCGGGAGGAAUACCAGUGGCGAAGGCGGCCUUCUGGACUGACACUGACGCUGAGGUGCGAAAGCGUGGGUAGCAAACAGGAUUAGAUACCCUUGUAGUC
rnacentral:rRNA from 1 species